AAAAUGUAUGACUGUAAGUCAAUUUGGAUAAAAGCGUCUGCUAAAUGGCCUAUA
rfam:Salmo salar isolate Sally breed double haploid chromosome ssa17, whole genome shotgun sequence.